GGUAUUGACGGGGGCCCGCACAAGCGGUGGAGCAUGUGGUUUAAUUCGAAGCAACGCGAAGAACCUUACCAGGUCUUGACAUCCCCUGACAACCCAAGAGAUUGGGCGUUCCCCCUUCGGGGGGGACAGGGUGACAGGUGGUGCAUGGUUGUCGUCAGCUCGUGUCGUGAGAUGUUGGGUUAAGUCCCGCAACGAGCGCAACCCUUGCCUCUAGUUGCCAGCAUUCAGUUGGGCACUCUAGAGGG
rnacentral:rRNA from 1 species